GAUGAACGCUGGCGGCGUGCCUAAUACAUGCAAGUCGAGCGAACAGAUGAGGAGCUUGCUCCUCUGACGUUAGCGGCGGACGGGUGAGUAACACGUGGAUAACCUACCUAUAAUACUGGGAUAACUUCGGGAAACCGGAGCUAAUACCGGAUAAUAUAUUGAACCGCAUGGUUCAAUAGUGAAAGACGGUUUUGCUGUCACUUAGAGAUGGAUCCGCGCCGCAUUAGCUAGUUGGUAAGGUAACGGCUUACCAAGGCAACGAUGCGUAGCCGACCUGAGAGGGUGAUCGGCCACACUGGAACUGAGACACGGUCCAGACUCCUACGGGAGGCAGCAGUAGGGAAUCUUCCGCAAUGGGCGAAAGCCUGACGGAGCAACGCCGCGUGAGUGAUGAAGGUCUUCGGAUCGUAAAACUCUGUUAUUAGGGAAGAACAAAUGUGUAAGUAACUAUGCACGUCUUGACGGUACCUAAUCAGAAAGCCACGGCUAACUACGUG
rnacentral:rRNA from 1 species